rnacentral:rRNA from 1 species
UACGUAGGUGGCAAGCGUUGUCCGGAUUUACUGGGCGUAAAGAGCGCGCAGGCGGUCGUUCAAGUCGCGUGUGAAAGCCCCCGGCUCAACUGGGGAGGGUCACGCGAUACUGAUCGACUCGAAAGGCAGGAGAGGGUAGUGGAAUUCCCGGUGUAGUGGUGAAAUGCGUAGAUAUCGGGAGGAACACCAGUGGCGAAGGCGACUACC